rnacentral:rRNA from 1 species
AUUGAACGCUGGCGGCAUGCCUUACACAUGCAAGUCGAACGGUAACAGGUCUUCGGAUGCUGACGAGUGGCGAACGGGUGAGUAAUACAUCGGAACGUGCCUAGUAGUGGGGGAUAACUACUCGAAAGAGUGGCUAAUACCGCAUGAGAUCUAAGGAUGAAAGCAGGGGAUCGCAAGACCUUGCGCUACUAGAGCGGCCGAUGGCAGAUUAGGUAGUUGGUGGGAUAAAAGCUUACCAAGCCGACGAUCUGUAGCUGGUCUGAGAGGACGAUCAGCCACACUGGGACUGAGACACGGCCCAGACUCCUACGGGAGGCAGCAGUGGGGAAUUUUGGACAAUGGGCGCAAGCCUGAUCCAGCAAUGCCGCGUGCAGGAAGAAGGCCUUCGGGUUGUAAACUGCUUUUGUACGGAGCGAAAAGGCUCCCUCUAAUACAGGGGGCUCAUGACGGUACCGUAAGAAUAAGCACCGGCUAACUACGUGCCAGCAGCCGCAGUAAUAC